GAUGAACGCUGGCGGCGUGCCUAAUACAUGCAAGUCGAGCGAACAGACGAGGAGCUUGCUCCUCUGACGUUAGCGGCGGACGGGUGAGUAACACGUGGAUAACCUACCUAUAAGACUGGGAUAACUUCGGGAAACCGGAGCUAAUACCGGAGAAUAUAUUGAACCGCAUGGUUCAAUAGUGAAAGACGGUUUUGCUGUCACUUAUAGAUGGAUCCGCGCCGCAUUAGCUAGUUGGUAAGGUAACGGCUUACCAAGGCAACGAUGCGUAGCCGACCUGAGAGGGUGGUCGGCCACACUGGAACUGAGACACGGUCCAGACUCCUACGGGAGGCAGCAGUAGGGAAUCUUCCGCAAUGGGCGAAAGCCUGACGGAGCAACGCCGCGUGAGUGAUGAAGGUCUUCGGAUCGUAAAACUCUGUUAUUAGGGAAGAACAAAUGUGUAAGUAACUGUGCACGUCUUGACGGUACCUAAUCAGAAAGCCACGGCUAACUACGUG
rnacentral:rRNA from 1 species